rnacentral:rRNA from 1 species
GAGUUUGAUCCUGGCUCAGAUUGAACGCUGGCGGCAGGCUUAACACAUGCAAGUCGAGCGGUUUAGUUAGCUUGCUAACUAGAUAGCGGCGAACGGGUGAGUAAUGCCUAGGAAUCUGCCUGAUAGUGGGGGACAACGUGUGGAAACGCACGCUAAUACCGCAUACGUCCUACGGGAGAAAGGGGGCUUUUCGGAGCUCUCGCUAACAGAUGAGCCUAGGUCAGAUUAGCUAGUUGGUGAGGUAAAGGCUCACCAAGGCGACGAUCUGUAGCGGGUCUGAGAGGAUGAUCCGCCACACUGGAACUGAGACACGGUCCAGACUCCUACGGGAGGCAGCAGUGGGGAGUAUUGGACAAUGGGCGAAAGCCUGAUCCAGCCAUGCCGCGUGUGUGAAGAAGGCCUUUUGGUUGUAAAGCACUUUAAGCGGGGAGGAGGCUACUUUGGUUAAUACCCAAGGAUAGUGGACGUUACCCGCAGAAUAAGCACCGGCUAACUCUGUGCCAGCAGCCGCGGUAAUACAGAGGGUGCGAGCGUUAAUCGGAAUUACUGGGCGUAAAGCGCGCGUAGGCGGCUUGUUAAGUCGGAUGUGAAAUCCCUGGGCUCAACCUAGGCAUUGCAUACGAUACUGGCAAGCUAGAGUAUGGGAGAGGAAGGUAGAAUUCCAGGUGUAG